CAUCCACGGAAGUUUUCAGAGAUGAGAAUGUGCCUUCGGGAACCGUGAGACAGGUGCUGCAUGGCUGUCGUCAGCUCGUGUUGUGAAAUGUUGGGUUAAGUCCCGCAACGAGCGCAACCCUUAUCCUUUGUUGCCAGCGGUCCGGCCGGGAACUCAAAGGAGACUGCCAGUGAUAAACUGGAGGAAGGUGGGGAUGACGUCAAGUCAUCAUGGCCCUUACGACCAGGGCUACACACGUGCUACAAUGGCGCAUACAAAGAGAAGCGACCUCGCGAGAGCAAGCGGACCUCAUAAAGUGCGUCGUAGUCCGGAUUGGAGUCUGCAACUCGACUCCAUGAAGUCGGAAUCGCUAGUAAUCGUGGAUCAGAAUGCCACGGUGAAUACGUUCCCGGGCCUUGUACACACCGCCCGUCACACCAUGGGAGUGGGUUGCAAAAGAAGUAGGUAGCUUAACCUUCGGGAGGGCGCUUACCACUUUGUGAUUCAUGACUGGGGUGAAGUCGUAACAAGGUAACCGUAGGGGAACCUGCGGUUGGAUCAC
rnacentral:rRNA from 2 species